rnacentral:rRNA from 1 species
UAUACCUAUUCGAAGGGAUAGGGUCGGUUCGGCCGGGUUUCACACAGGUGUUGCAUGGCUGUCGUCAGCUCGUGUCGUGAGAUGUUGGGUUAAGUCCCGCAACGAGCGCAACCCUCAUCCUUAGUUACCAUCAGGUAAUGCUGGGGACUUUAAGGAGACCGCCAGUGAUAAACUGGAGGAAGGUGGGGAUGAUGUCAAGUCAUCAUGGCCCUUAUGGAGUGGGCUACACACGUGCUACAAUGGUGGCUACAAUGGGCUGCAAAGUCGCGAGGCUAAGCUAAUCCCUUAAAAGCCAUCUCAGUUCGGAUUGUACUCUGCAACUCGAGUGCAUGAAGUUGGAAUCGCUAGUAAUCGUGGAUCAGCACGCCACGGUGAAUACGUUCUCGGGUCUUGUACACACUGCCCGUCACGCCAUGGGAAUUGGUUUCACUCGAAGCU